UACAGAGGGUGCGAGCGUUGUCCGGAAUCACUGGGCGUAAAGGGCGCGUAGGCGGUCGCGUAAGCGUGUGGUGAAAGCCCGGGGCUCAACCCCGGGUCGGCCAUGCGAACUGCGGGACUGGAGCAGAUCAGAGGCAGGCGGAAUUCCGGGUGUAGCGGUGGAAUGCGUAGAGAUCCGGAAGAACACCGGUGGCGAAGGCGGCCUGCUGGGAUGUUGCUGACGCUGAAGCGCGACAGCGUGGGGAGCAAACAGG
rnacentral:rRNA from 1 species